GGAGAAAGAGGAGGAGAAGAGGAGGAGGAGGAUAGGGUCACGAGGAGGGUGCCCCUGGAUGAGCUCGGAGGCCCGGUCGGGCUGGCUCGGCCCCUGCCCCUCCCUUUCCUCUAGCGCGGCCUGAAAGCCCGGGGCCACGGGAGCCCUCCCCACACCCCCAGCCCGGCGCUUGUGGCUGUGGCCGUGGCCUCUGACCCCACUGGCUGAAAGCGCGUCCCCGGCACUCGGGCCUGCAGGGGCGCUCGCCUUUGUCUCUCGAUCCCCUCUGCCCCUUUCUUCCCCCAGCAGACGGGGAGAGCUCCUUAGGAGAGGAAGCUGCGCUGCGCUGGCCCAAUGGGUCGGUAAGGCCUUCAGGACCGCCUUCCAGAGAUGGGGCACCGUGAGAACCCCUGCAGCCGCCCUGGACUCGGAACGUCGGGACCUGCGGCUGAUUCUCUUCUCCGCCUUCGCGGACGCCUGGCCGAGCACAGCCAGGACCAUGCUCAAAACCACUCCCUGCCUGGAGCACCGAGUACAUAGGGCGUCCCCCCUCCUCCUCCGCACCUUGCGGCAGAUUGACGGGAGGACCGAGAAGAGAGGCACAGGAUGGGUGGGCGUGAUAGAGCUGCAGUCUGCAUCAUUGGGAGAAUGUACCUACCCGCGUUGAGAUGACAGAUCCAUUGGGGCGUUGGAGGAUGUGCGUAAUCUAGAUAGACAGAGGGGAGAAUCGGUGGCCUGGGAGUGAAGCCCAAGUCACCACCUCCCUGAGCCUGCCUACCUCACAGAACAAUGUGGUGCGGAAAGUUCUGCCUAAAACCUAAAAGCCCCAUAUAAUUGGGUAGUUAUCGUUAAUGUGCAUGUGUGAGUGCCAACAUUUAAUCAGCAUCAAUCCAACCCUAAUGAAAAAGAUUGUAGUAACUAAACAUUGGAUAUAAAAAA